CCAUGUCAUAGUGAUUGCUUCAGAAGGGUCACUGACUGACAUUGAUGUCUUAUGGUGGCCCUAUGGAAGAGUCUCUUUCUUUAUGGUUUAUAUUAGUGCUUGCGGUUCACACAGCUCUCUAGAAGACCCCACACUGCUGUACUAGACUGUGGCUGCGCCUAAACCCCACCACUUCUGUGUGCCUAAAGCUGCCUUCUCUUCACUGUGAAUCAGUGGAAGCUUGGAGAAGUUGCUCACCCACCCCUGCAUCGCUCCAGAUGGCCAGGAGCAGAAAUCCUACUCACAUCAGAAUUGCUGCAGAUCAAAUAUCAAACUGCCAAAGACAGAAAAUUAUUUAUUGAGGAAUGACCCCACUAUUUAUGUAAUUUCAAGCAGACAAGGAGAGUCUCCAGGGACUAUAGGAAUUAAUCAACUUGAGCAAUCAGCCUAUUUUACAGCCUCCUGCCUUGUAGACUACUUUUUCCAAAACUCUGUGUGGCAUGUGGUCACCUAGUUGGUUGGAACCAGCUCCUGACAGACCCGAGCAACUGACAGAUGAACCUGAGUGAACUGUCCUCAUUAUCAUGCUAAAGUCUCCAUCCCGAGAGGAACUAUAGCAUUAUUACCAGAACAUGCGACCUUGGUGCUGGCAUAAAGACUCACUGCCUCUUAGCAACUGGGACCCGUCCCAUACAUGUGAUGAUGCUCACUCUGCUCUCUCCAUAGCUCCAUAAAAUCUCUCAGGGAGACACUGCUUUGGGGAAUGUUUCCUUACUUGGCU
rnacentral:lncRNA from 1 species